rnacentral:misc_RNA from 1 species
UCUCCGUAGGUGAACCUGCGGAGGGAUCAUUAAAAGUGACUCCGGUCUUACAAUCUUGAUGUUCAUAACCCUUUUUUGUCCGACACUGUUGCCUUGGGGGCGAUCCUGCCUUCGGGCGGGGGUUACGGGAGGAUACCACAAACUCUUGCGUAAGUCUGGAGUAUGAGUAAAAUUAAUAAAGAAAUUAAAAAUUAUAACAACGGACCUAUUGGUUCAGGCAUGGAUGAAGAACGCAGCAGAGCGGACGAGCAAACGCCAGAACUACAGUCACCAUUCGUC